CUCUGCUUCAUGCUGCUGUGUCCUCGUGGCCGGCGGGGCCACCCAGCCGCGCGCCGGGACACGCAGCCGCAGCCCCCGCGCGCUAGCCCGCAGCGUCCGGCGCGGCAGCAGCAGCACUAGCGGCGGCAGGAGCGGCGCCGCCGGGGCGGGGCCAGCACAUGGGAGGGCGGGGGCUGCGGCCCUCUAGGCUGGACCACCGACCCCAACGGGGGCGCACUUUCUCAGUGCUCCCGCAGCUCACUCCUGCUCCUCGUUCUCUGAGACCCGGUUGUCACUCUAGGGUUGAUCCUUUCAUAAUCUCACAGGUCACAAGCAGAAGGUAAAGAAAUGCAUAGCCGCCAGUCCCUCCUACUUGCUCUCUCCCCCCUCGGUAUGGACCAUAUGGUAUAUUCCUGAAAGCCCAAUGGUGUAGGAGAGGAACGAGGUGAUUGGCUGGGAAUCUUGGAAGGGGAGAGAAGCUACACAAAAGGGCCAACGGGAUAACACCAGGGGCAUAUCAAAGCCGGCCAGACCCGCGACGGGAGGACAUCCUUAAAGGGGACUUGUUUGUUGCCCUCAGAAGCUGCCACAAAAACAAAGCUAGAAUUUUCUUCCUGAUCUUAUCCAGAUGAGACAAAGUAGGGAAGUCUCCGACUUAGGGGGUAGUAGCUAUCGAAAACUUCUGAGAAUUGGGUCUAUAUGUCCAUGUGACUUUGAAUGGAUAACUCCAACUCUCUGCCUCAGUUUCCUUUUUCAAUCCGAUGAGGUUAUUAGACCACGCUUGACCUCUAGAAAGCCUUCCUCGUCUUUUUCGAGAGAUUAAUCUCUUCAGUUCCGGGCAUCUUAAGGAACUGUGGUUGAAAGCAGGUAGACUUUCUACCAACACUUCUGUACAAACAGACUGAAUAGUCUUUCAAGGUUUUUUCAUAUGUAAAGGAGCAUUAUUCUUCCUACCAGGGUGUGGAGAUCAUCCUACGUCUGCGUCUCCCAGAGUCAGAAGAAGCCUCAGUUAAUUUCUUCACUGAACUGCCGGACUGUGCAGGAUUCCAGUCUUCAACAAAUCCCACGGGCUGAAUAAGUCUGUUCCUGGCUGAAGUCUGUACAAACCACUCAACUAUGCAGGGGUCCCCUUGCUUUUUGUUUUUUGGUUUUUGUUUUUUGUUUUUUUUUCCCCUUCAGUCACCUUCCAUGUCUAGCUGAAGAUCAACAAACGUCUCUAAAGGCCUGGUCAUCUUCCCCUUAGUCCAGGAAGCCAGACUGGUUCAGACAAAUUCCACUCCGUUUGCACGGAGUGUUGUGUGGCGCUGGAGGGCACGCGUGAAGGUCAGAGGACAACUUUUAGGAAUCAGUUCUCUCCCGCCACGGGUUCUGGGAAAUCAAAUUCACAGGCCCUCCCUCUACUUUCAGAAAAUUUCAGCUUGCACUCCUUGGCUUCCAAACCGUCCGAGGCUUCCUACUGCCAUGCUGUUCCUGCCGGAUUCCUGUUGCUGGGGCCCCAAGUCAACAGAGCCGGGAACCGAAGAUGGAAAUCACGAAUUAAAAGAAUUCCUCCCUUAAA
rnacentral:sRNA from 1 species